rnacentral:lncRNA from 1 species
CUGAGGGUCACUUCUAAAGACAGACAGUAACAAACCUACUUGCGUCCAUGGGAGGUUGAGAAGUCAGGAGUGAUCGACAAAGACAACCUGACACACCACCCUUCAUUGAGUCCCUGCUUUGUGCCAGGCAUCAAGGAUGUGAAAAUGAAAACACUCCCCUCCUGUGAAACUCCCCCCACCCACCCACCUCUGUCCACUGGGGAAGGCUGACACAUAAACAAAGUAUGUUGCUGAAGUCGGUACAAUGGCUGCCUGAAAAGUGCCAUGGGAACACAGAGAAGGGAAAAUUACUUCUGUCCAAGGGGAUUAAGGACCUACCAAGAAAUAAUCAUGUAUGAGUUUGGCCUUGAAGACUGGACUUUGAAUUUGCUCCUUGGUAAAGGAGGGCAGGGUAAAGAGAAGGAGUGUAGAUAAGGACCUACCAAGCAGAGGGAAGUCAGAGGCAGGUUUUUCCAUCUGGAGUAAUCAGUAGUGGGAAGGACUGCAUCAAGAUUCAGCAUGUCCUUGACACCGGAGAGCUCCUGCAGAGAAUAGAUAAUGACUCCAUGGUAGCCAGUAAAGGAUUCUAUCUUGUUUUUAAUGUUAUAUGUGCUAUGGAUUUUACAGUUUGUCACUUCACUUUGGCUUCCAGGAAGUUCAGAGAAAAAAAAUUAACCCUCUUCUGGUGAGUGUACAAAACCUUAUAAUAUGCCCAUUGCAUAUUAAAAGUUAUGUCACCUGUUUUUUACUCAUCCAGUACAGUAAGUUCUAUUAAUGGAUAGUAAUAUUUUAUAUUUUUCUACAUUUAUGUUAUGUAUUUUGAUAAACUAUAUAUAUAUAUGUGAAAACUAUAUAUGUGAAAAAAAUAUAUAUAUGCAUCCUUUUUUCAAUAGAAUUAUCUAUAAAUAAAUAGGUAAGCUAUAAACUAAUUCUAGGGUCACUUUCCUUUUUCAGUUUAUUCAAAAAUAUGAAAUCCAUCAUGAACUUCCUUUUUUUUUAACUAUUGAAUCAAUUUAAAAAUACUAAAAGAAGCAAAGUACAAAUCAAAUCCACAGUAAGAUACCAUUUCAUACUCAUUAAAAUGGCUAUAUGAGUUCCUGAUGUGGUGCAGCGGGUUAAUGAUCCAGCUUGUCUCUGUGGAGGCAGCAGUUCUAUCCUUGACCCAGAGCAAUGGGUUAAAGAUUCGGCAUUGCCACAGCUGUGGCAUAGGUCACGGAUGCUACUCAGGUUCGAUCCCUGGCCUGGGAACUUCCAUAUGAUGUGGGUGCAGCCAAAAAAAGAAAAAAAAAAAGGCUAUAAUAAAAAAGACAAUAACAAUACCAUUCUUUUAAAAAAAUUUAUUAAAGUAUCAUUGAUUUAUAAUGUACUAAUUUCUGCUGUACAGCAAAGUGACUCAGAUAUGUAUGUGUGUGUGUGUGUGUAUAUAUAUAUAUAUAUGUACACACACACAUAUAUACAUACACAUUCUUUAUAUACAUUCUGUUAUAUAGUCUUUUCCAUAAUAGUCUAUCCCAGAAGAUUGGAUAUAGUUCCCUGUGCUUAGAGUAGGACCUUGUUGUUUAAGUAUAACUGUUUGCAUCUACUAACCUCAAACUCCCAGCCCAUCCCUCUCUCUCCUACCAGCCACUUGGCAACCACAUGUUUGUUCUCCUUAUCCUUGAGUCCAUUUCUGUUUUGUAGAUAGAUUCAUUUGUGCCAUAUUUUAGAUUCCACAUAUAAAUGAUAUCAGUGAUAUCAGUCUUUCUCUUUGCGACCUUACUUGGUAUGAUAACCUUUAGUUGCAUCCAUGUUCCUGUGAGUGGCAUUAUUUUGUUCUUUUUUAUGACUGCGUAGUACUCCAUUGUACAUAUUUAUUGCAUCUUCUUAAUCCGUUCAUUUGUCAAUGGACAUUUAGGUUGUUUCCAUGUUUUGGCUCUUGUGGGCAGACCCACCACUGCUCUUAAAAGUAUACAAGAGAACUGAAAAUAUAGAUCCGCACAAAAGCUUAUACACCAAUGUUCAUAGAACCAUUAUUUAUAAUAGACCAAAGUGGAAAUGACCCAAGUAUCCAUUAACUGAAUAGAUAAGCAAAAUAUAGUAUAUUUAUACAGUGGAAUGUUAUUCAGCCAAAAUGAGUGAAGUACUGAUGCAUGCUAAAAACAUGCAUGAACCCAGAAACCAUUAUGCCGAGUGGAAGAAGCCAGACACAAAAGCCACACUUAUGAUUCCAUUUAUAUGAAAUACCCAGAAUAAGAAAAUCUAUACCAACAGAAAGUAGAUUAGUAGCUGCCAGGGGAAUGGGGGGUUGAGGGGAGAGGAAUGAGGAGUAUCUACUAAUGGGUCAGAGCUUCUUUUUGACAUGAUAAAAUAUCCUGCAACUAGGUAGCUGUGAGGUUGUAUAAGAAAUAUCAAGGAGUUCCCAUUGUGGUGCAGCGGAAACAAAUCCGACUAGUAACCAUAAGGUUGCUGGUUCGAUCCCUAGCCUUGCUCAGUGGGUCAGUGAUCUGGCAUUGCCAUGAGCUGUGGUGUAGGUCUCACACAGAGGUGGCUCAUAUCCCACAUUGCUGUAGCUGUAGUGUAGGCUGGCAGCUGUAGCUCUGAUUGGACCCAUAGCCUGGGAACCUCUAUAUGCUGUGGGUGUGGCCCUAAAAAAAAAAAAUCAAGAAGCACUGAACUUAACACUUUUUAAAAGGGUAAAUUUUCUGGUGUGCGAAUAUUGAAAGACUUUGUCAGGGCAGGUGGAAUGUGUAGGAGGUCAAUUUUAUUUUCCUGUCAGUCUUUAAUUGAUAAUCAUUUCAGCCAUCUCUACUUACUUUAGGUACUUUCUGUUAUAACUUCUAAAAAUCUCAUAACAAAAUUUGUUUUCUUUAGCCUUAAAAGGUAUACAAUUUGUUACUUGGAAAGGAUGGCUGUUUAAUAAAUCUCUUUUUCCUCCUCGUCAUGGGCUGGCCCUUGAAUUAAUUAUUAAGACUAUGUAUAGGUCAUUAAUUAGACCUAAUAAAUAUUUAUUUUUGAAAUUUAAUAUCUACCUUUACUUAUACCAUCAAAACAUUUUAAUAAUAAAAACAAUCAAAAAUUGUUUUCCAUAGUCUUUAGCUUGAUACUAACAUGGCAUGCACUGUACCUGGAAAAGGUAUUUUUUCCCAGUAUGUUCCCAUCACAAAGGAAGAAGCUGCUUGGAACUUUCCAAGCUCCAGUAAGUUCUGUGGAAUAAAAUUACUUCAUUCUAAAAAGAAGUGACUGUCUUCUCCUCUGUGACUGUGAUUAUUCCUUUCCUAUGAAGCAAGUUCUUAACAUGCUUAAGACAACAUGAGUUUAGAUAUCUUAGGUUUGGUUUUUUUUUGUUUUGUUUUGUUUUGUUUUGUUUUUUAUUUUGUUUUUAUCUUGUAAAAUCAGUUGGGAUAUAUUUUAGUCCUGCGUUACUCAGAUUUCCCAGUUACCUGGAUUAAUUGAUGUGAACAACAACAAUGGUGCUUUGAAGCAUCGGGUACAACAGUAGAAAUAAUCACAUUUCUUAGUUAAUGAAUGUAUUGUUCUUUCAUAAGGCUUUGUUUAUGGAAAUAAAUAGAGUAUUACCUUGAUUAGUGAAUUCCCUGGGAAG